rnacentral:pre_miRNA from 8 species
CUGAAAGGAGAAAGGUCUGACCUCUUGCUCUCAGUAACAAGGAUUCAUCCUGUUGUGGUACUCAAAUCCAACAGGGAAUCUCUGUUACUGGGGUUAAGGUUCAGAAAUUCGCUUUGCGGGGGG